CCUACGGGAGGCAGCAGUGGGGAAUAUUGCACAAUGGGCGCAAGCCUGAUGCAGCGACGCCGCGUGAGGGAUGACGGCCUUCGGGUUGUAAACCUCUUUCAGUAGGGAAGAAGCGAAAGUGACGGUACCUGCAGAAGAAGCGCCGGCUAACUACGUGCCAGCAGCCGCGGUAAUACGUAGGGCGCAAGCGUUAUCCGGAAUUAUUGGGCGUAAAGAGCUCGUAGGCGGUUUGUCGCGUCUGCCGUGAAAGUCCGGGGCUCAACUCCGGAUCUGCGGUGGGUACGGGCAGACUAGAGUGAUGUAGGGGAGACUGGAAUUCCUGGUGUAGCGGUGAAAUGCGCAGAUAUCAGGAGGAACACCGAUGGCGAAGGCAGGUCUCUGGGCAUUAACUGACGCUGAGGAGCGAAAGCAUGGGGAGCGAACAGGAUUAGAUACCCUGGUAGUCCAUGCCGUAAACGUUGGGCACUAGGUGUGGGGGACAUUCCACGUUUUCCGCGCCGUAGCUAACGCAUUAAGUGCCCCGCCUGGGGAGUCGGCCGCAAGGCUAAAACUCAAAGGAAUUGACGGCUGNGAGNGCGAGCGACGACGAGGGAGAGG
rnacentral:rRNA from 1 species